rnacentral:rRNA from 1 species
UACGUAGGGGGCAAGCGUUGUCCGGAUUUAUUGGGCGUAAAGAGCGUGUAGGCGGCCUUGCAAGUCCGUUGUGAAAACUCGAGGCUCAACCUCGAGACGCCGGUGGAAACUGCAAAGCUAGAGUCCGGAAGAGGAGAGUGGAAUUCCUGGUGUAGCGGUGAAAUGCGCAGAUAUCAGGAGGAACACCAAUUGCGAAGGCAGCUCGCGGGAACGUAACUGACGCUGAGACGCGAAAGCGUGGGGAGCAAACAGG